CACGUAGGGGGCAAGCGUUGUCCGGAAUCAUUGGGCGUAAAGCGCGUGUAGGCGGUCCGGUAAGUCCGCUGUGAAAGUCGAGGGCUCAACCCUCGAAUGCCGGUGGAUACUGUCGGGCUUGAGUACGGGAGAGGCGAGUGGAAUUCCUGGUGUAGCGGUGAAAUGCGCAGAUAUCAGGAGGAACACCGAUUGCGAAGGCAGCUCGCUGGGACGUUACUGACGCUGAGACGCGAAAGCGUGGGGAGCAAACAGG
rnacentral:rRNA from 1 species